rnacentral:rRNA from 1 species
AUUGAACGCUGGCGGCAUGCCUUACACAUGCAAGUCGAACGGCAGCACGGGUGCUUGCACCUGGUGGCGAGUGGCGAACGGGUGAGUAAUACAUCGGAACAUGUCCUGUAGUGGGGGAUAGCCCGGCGAAAGCCGGAUUAAUACCGCAUACGAUCUACGGAUGAAAGCGGGGGACCUUCGGGCCUCGCGCUAUAGGGUUGGCCGAUGGCUGAUUAGCUAGUUGGUGGGGUAAAGGCCUACCAAGGCGACGAUCAGUAGCUGGUCUGAGAGGACGACCAGCCACACUGGAACUGAGACACGGUCCAGACUCCUACGGGAGGCAGCAGUGGGGAAUUUUGGACAAUGGGCGAAAGCCUGAUCCAGCAAUGCCGCGUGUGUGAAGAAGGCCUUCGGGUUGUAAAGCACUUUUGUCCGGAAAGAAAUCCUUGGCCCUAAUACGGUCGGGGGAUGACGGUACCGGAAGAAUAAGCACCGGCUAACUACGUG